CAGAAGAGCUCGUGGGGCGUGAAGGCUCGCGGCCUUGGCGCUCGCGAAAUUCCCCGCAGGAGUCUCAUCGCCGCUCGCCAUCGCCAUCGGCAGUCGCCCCGCGUGCUGCCCCGGCAGAUGCGACUAUAUAAGAGAGGACGGCGCCCAUCCCACGUACAGUCCGACCCGUCUGCACGAGCGGCUCUCCCAGUCUCGAGAUGAGGACUCUGACGCUGUUGGUGCUGGUGGCGGCGCUGGUGGGCGUGGCGCUGUGCGUCCCGCUGCCGCUGCCGCUGCCCGGCCCCGUGCCGGCCGCCCCCGCCGCCCCCGCCGCCCCCCGCGAGUCGCUGCGCGCCAGCGAGCAGUUCUACUACCCGUACGCCUACUCGUACUACCCGUACGGGUACUACCUGCUCGGCUGAGGCGGCGGCGCCCUCCACCCGGCACCCGGCACCCGCUGACCGACGCCCGCGACGGACUCUCCAAGGACCCGGCUCUCGCUUUCUGUACUUGUCAAUUAGCCUUGUAGCCCAUAAUAAACAAACACUCCUGGCCAAA